ensembl:lncRNA
GGUUGAGACACACAGAGAGGUUGAGACACACAGAGAGGUUGAGACACAAAGAGAGGUUGAGACACAGAGAGGUUGAGACACAAAGAGAGGUUGAGACACAAAGAGAGGUUAAGACAAAGAGGUUAAGACAAAGAGGUUAAGACACAAAGAGAGGUUAAGACACAAAGAGAGGUUAAGACACAAAGAGAGGUUAAGACACAAAGAGAGGUUAAGACACAAAGAGAGGUUAAGACACAAAGAGAGGUUAAGACACAAAGAGAGGUUAAGACACAAAGAGAGGUUAAGACACAAAGAGAUCUACAUACAUGGCAUUUACAGAGAGAGAUUGAGCUCUAGAGCAAACAAAUGAUGGGGUUUUUAAACCAAGGGAAAGGAACUGUGAUAGGGUAGGAAACAGGAGGAGGUGUGUCUUCUGAUUGAUGAUUGAUUGUUGACUGAUUGGGGAGUGAUGAUGUUCACCUGUGAGGGGAGAAGGAGAGAAAAGAAACACACACAGGAUACUUGUAUCCGUAACAAUUACCUUUAACAGGGAAUUUAUUCUUCCUUUACACAGUAAUUUGGGGGAAAUGGGCUGGAUGGAACCAAAGCAAAGAAAGUAAAAGUUAAAGAGCCCCCUCUCUUAUUUUACCUAUUCUUAAU